ACCAGGAUGGCCGAGUGGUUAAGGCGUUGGCCUUAAGAUCCAAUGGGUGGGUUCGAACCCCACUUCUGGUA